rnacentral:tRNA from 1 species
GGGCGCUUAGCUCAGUUGGUUCAGAGCGCCUGCCUUACAAGCAGGAGGCCGGUGGUUCGAAUCCGCCAGCGCCCACCA